ensembl:lncRNA
UAGAUAUUCAUUUAUCACUAACAAUAUGGCUUAAACCCAGGUACAAGGCAUAUUGGGUGGAUGGUGCAGGGAACUACUUAAAUGCUGCUAUGGAUGUAAUCCCAGAGAAAAGUAAUCCGAUCCUCUCCAUGGUAAAUGGCCUGUAUUUAUAUAGCGCUUUACUAGUCCCUAAGGACCCCAAAGCGCUUUACAUAUCUAGUCAUUCACCCAUUCACACACUGGUGAUGGCAAGCUACGUUGUAGCCACAGCCACCUUGGGGCGCACUGACAGAGGUGAGGCUGCCGGACACUGGCGCCACCGGGCCCUCUGACCACCACCGGUAGGCAACGGGUGAAGACUGUCCAAGCCGGGGCUCGAACCGACAACCUUCCAACUACAAGACUUCUCCAUCAACUCCCCACGCUGCCACCUACAGAAGUUCUCUGACGACUCUGCCAUAGUCGGCCUCAUCACAGGUGAGGAUGACUCAGAGUACAGACAGUGGACUCUGGACUUUGUGGACUGGUGUCAGCAGAACCACCUGCUGAUCAACGCCAGGAAAACCAAGGAGUUGGUGGUGGACUUCCGGAGACGCAGACCCACCACACUGACACCGGUGAACAUCCAGGGAGUGGACGUUGAGAUAGUGGACUCGUAUAGGUACCUGGGUGUUCACCUGAAUAAUAAACUGGACUGGAGCCACAACACCGAUGCUCUUUACAGGAAGGGUCAGAGCAGACUCUACCUGCUGAGGCGGCUGAGGUCAUUUGGAGUACAGGGAGCGCUUUUAAAGACCUUCUAUGACUCUGUGGUGGCAUCUGUCAUUUUUUACAGUGUUGUAUGUUGGAGCAGCAGUUUAUCGGCAGCUGAGAGGAAGAGGUUGGAUAAACUCAUCAGGAAGGCCAGCUCUGUUCUGGGAUCCACCCUGUACCAAGUGCAGGUGGUGGGAGACAGAAGGACUCUGGCCAAAAUAACAUCUCUGAUGGACAGAGUCUCCCACCCCAUGCAUGUAAAUGUUGCUGAACUGCAGAGCUCCUUCAGUGAGAGACUGCUGCAUCCUAGAUGCAUGAAGGAGCGUUUCUGCAGGUCCUUCCUCCCUGCAGCUGUUUGCCUCUUAUCUGUAGUUAUUUUUAUUUUAUUUAAUAACUGUACAGUACUCCUUUUAUAGUAACCAUUGUCCUUAAUGUAAAUAUGUAAGACAAAUUGUGUAUGUUUCUAUUCUGUGUCCUGUGUACUCUUUGUUGUAUAUGUGUCUUUCUGGCUGCUGUUACAACCAAAUCAAGACCCU